rnacentral:misc_RNA from 1 species
ACACCCGAAUCCGCGGUAAGGCAGGAUUAUUCUCAUAGAACACGGGAGAGAGGGAGAGGUCAAAGGACCAGCUUUCCCGCGAAGAGGACAUCGUCAGUCCUUUCGUCUCAACAGCGCGCACCCGUCUGCGUGUCUCGUUCAUCGGCAUUGUCUCGCGGCCACGCAAUCGCACACAUUUUCCGUUUACGCGAAAGGAAGGCAAUUCUUCGGUGGCCGAUCUCACAGCUUGUACACGGGUUUGCCUCACUUCGCGGCUUUUUUUUUUGCCUGCACCCUCGCCUCCAUCCGCGCAGACGCACAUAGGCGUCAGCGUGUCUCGACGAGCACGACUUGCUUCACGUCUUUUUCUCGCUCUUUACCCUCUUGCGUCUUUUUUCGAAGACGCCGACGCGAACAUGUCCGCGCGGCUGGAGAGCGGGACGAGGGUGGGGUGGCUCUUUAAUUACCACCCCAUCACCGAGGUGCUGCAGGAGGAGGAGGACGCUGUCGCCGGCGAAGGGACGCAGCGAGCGGCGCUCGUGCUGCUUUUCCAGGACCUCGCCGGCGACACCUUCUACGUGCACCUCCACUACGACCCGUACAUCCUUGUGCAGGCCGUCGAGGGUCACGAGCGCGAGGUGGAGCUCGGCCUCAUGUCCAGCUUCGGCCCGCAGAUCAUCAGCGAAAUUAUCGCCGUGGAAAAGGAAGAUCUCGAUCUCGUGAACCAUCUGAGUGGUAAGAAGCGCGUCUACCUCAAGGUGGUCUUCCGUAAUGUGCAGGACCUCACGACGGUGCGCGGGCGACUGGAAAAAACCGUCAAGCUCAACGCCUCCCUCGGUUCCGAGAACCCGCUGCGGAGCCAGUUCAGCGGCUCGCUCGGUGACGCCAUGGCGAAACCGUUCGCUGAAGAUCCCCUUUACAGCGCAGCUGGUAGCAGUCGGUGGAUGGACUGGGUGCAGGACAUACGCGAGUACGACGUGAAGUACCACAUGCGCGUCGCCAUCGACAUGAAGGUGUACUGCGGCCUCUGGUACGACGUGACGGUCACGGAGGGAGGCGCGCGUGUGCAGCGGUGCGACGACAGCCGCUACGCGCCGGCCAUGCCACGUGUCAUCGCCUUCGACAUUGAAACGACAAAGGCCCCUCUGCGCUUUCCGCAGCCGGAGGUGGAUGAGGUGUACAUGAUAUCCUACAUGCUGGACGGUCGCGGCUACCUGAUCAUCAACCGCGAGAUCGUGACGGAGGACAUCGCGCCGUUCGAGUACACCCCAAAGCCCGAGUACGAGGGCUUCUUCGACACCUUCAACGAGGAGAACGAGGCAGCGACGCUGCGACGCUUCUUCGAUGAGAUGCGCAAGUACAAGCCGAACGUCUAUGUCACGUACAACGGCGACUACUUCGACUUCCCCUUCAUCCAUGCCCGUGCCCUGUACCACGGCAUGAAUAUGCGCAAUGAGAUCGGCUUCACGCAGAUGGCCGACGGCGCCUUCCUGAACAAGCAGAUACCUCACCUCGAUUGCUUCUACUGGGUAAAGCGGGACUCGUACUUGCCGCAGGGCAGUCAAGGCUUGAAGGCGGUCACCAAGUACAAGCUCGGCUACGAGCCUAUCGAGGUGGACCCCGAAGACAUGCUCCCUCUCGCGCAGUCGCAGCCGCAGCGCAUGGCCUCGUACUCGGUGUCGGACGCUGUGUCGACGUGGUACCUCUAUCAGAAAUACGUGCACCCCUUCAUCUUUUCCCUCGCCACAAUUAUUCCAAUGCCACCAGACGACGUACUGCGCAAGGGCUCGGGCGGCUUGUGCGAGUCACUGCUGAUGGUGCAGGCAGAGGCGAACAACGUGGUGUUUCCGAACAAGAAGGAAAUAGAGCGGGAGCGUUUCUACGAGGGCCACCUGAUUGACACGGAGACCUACAUCGGCGGCCGUGUUGAAGCGCUGCGCAGCGGCGUGUACCGCUCCGAUAUCCCGAUGACGUUCGACAUGAAUCCUGAUACCUACCAGAGUCUCAUCGACGACGUCGACGAAGCACUCCGCUUCACCCUCGAGGUGGAGAACGGUGUGAAGGUAGAGGAGGUAACGAAUCUGGAAGAGGUAAGGGCGGCCAUCCUCGCCAAGCUAACGAACCUGCGCGACCGGCCGCACCAGCAAGAGAAGCCGUUCAUCUACCACCUCGACGUCGGCGCCAUGUACCCGAACAUCAUCCUCACAAACCGCCUGCAACCGUACGCCAUUGCGCGGCCAGACGUGUGCGCUGGAUGCUGCUUCAACUCCCCGAACAACGAGGCGCAGUGCAAGCGUGUCAUGUCGUGGAAGUGGAGGGCCGAGCUCUUCACCGCCGGCCGCUACGAGUUUCAGCGGGUCAAGGCCCAGCUCGAGAACGAGUCCUUUGCCGCCGGCGUGAUUGAGCAGGCAAACCUCGCGGCCGUGCAGAAAAAGGCGUACGGCAACCGCAAGGGCAAUGUACUGGAAGGCACCUCGUACGAGCGGAAAGACGACUGGAAAAAGAGUCAGAGCAGUCGCAAGGGCGGCGGCGGUGCCGGAUACCGACAAGAGUCACGGCAGCAGCAGCGCGAGGCUGCCGACGCGCUUCUCCAGCGCGAGUUCGGUGCCGAUCGCAACGGUGAAGGCGGCAGCUCCGACUCGGACGGCGACGCCGACGGCCCAAAGGCGUACCACAAGCUCAACGAGAACACGCAGUUCAACAUGCUGAAACGGCGGCUCAGCGAAUAUAGCCGAAAAGCCUACGGCAAGAUUCACGAGACGCGUGAAGUGAUGCGGUCCAACGUGGUGUGCCAGCGCGAGAACUCCUUCUACGUCGACACGGUUCGCCUUUUUCGCGACCGCCGCUACGAAUACAAGGCAGCACUGAAGACAUGGAAGAAGAGGCUGGACGCUGCGAAGGACUCGGACGAGCGCAAGGUGUGCCAGAGUCGCUGCGUGCAGAUGGAAUCGCUGCAGCUGGCCCACAAGUGCAUCCUCAACUCGUUUUACGGCUACGUGAUGCGUAAAGGCUCGCGGUGGUCGAGUAUGGAAAUGGCGGGCAUCGUCACCUAUCUCGGCGCGACGCUGAUUCAGAUGGCCCGCUCGCUUGUCCAGCAGAUCGGUGUGACGCUCGAGCUUGACACGGAUGGCAUCUGGUGCUGUCUUCCCAACACGUUUCCCGAGAACUUCACUUUGGCCACGACAAACCCGUCCAAGCCGAAGAUAUCGAUAUCGUACCCGUGCGUCGUGCUGAACAAAAUGGUGCACGAUCGGUACUCAAAUCACCAGUACCAGGACCUUGUCAGCACGGGCGUGUACAAGACGCGCAGCGAGUGCUCGAUCUACUUUGAAGUAGACGGCCCGUACCUCGCCAUGCUGCUGCCUGCCAGUCGCGAGGAAGGCAAAAGCAUCAAGAAGCGCUACGCCGUCUUCAGCCCGGACGGCAGCUUGGCCGAGCUCAAGGGGUUUGAGCUGAAACGUCGCGGAGAGCUGAUGCUUGUCAAGGACUUCCAGUCACAGGUGUUCCGCCGCUUCCUCGACGGCAGGACGCUCGCUGACGCGUACGCCUCGGCGGCUGUCGUGGCGGAUGCCGCGCUUGACAUGCUUGAGUCCAAAGGCGAAGGCUACGAUACAGAGGAGAUUCUGGAGAAGAUUACGGAGAGCAGCAACAUGACUCGGCGACUCUCCGAGUACCCCGAAUCGCAGAAGUCGCUGGCCAUCACGACAGCACGGCGCAUUGCCGAGUUCCUGGGACCGCAAAUGGUAAAAGACAAGGGCCUGGCGUGCCACUUCAUCAUCUCACGCAUGCCGGCCGGCCGCCCCGUCACGGAGCGGGCGAUCCCCGUCACGAUAUUCCGCGCGGACCCGGCAGUUCGCACGCAUUUUCUGCGCAAGUGGACCGCCGACACAACGGUUCCGUCCGAGCUGAAUUUGAAGACGCUGCUGGACUGGGACUACUACACUGCACGCUUCAGCGCCUGCGUGCAGAAGAUUGUGUCUAUCCCGGCGGCGCUGCAGUCGCUGCCGAACCCGGUGCCGCGCGUGGUGCACCCGGACUGGCUGGAAAAGCGCAUUCGUCACCGCAACUCCCGCUACCGUCAAGUGUCACUUCUCGGCAUGCUAUCCAAGGUGCAAGGCAAGAACGAGGCGCUGGCUGGCGUGUCGGCGGCGGCCGCCGCCGCUGCCGUCAGAGUGGACGAGGACGAGGACGGGGUCGUGCUGGAGCAGGGGGGUGGUGCGGGCGCUGUAGAGGGAGAGCUGCAAGACUUGGAGGACAUGGCGGGCGGUGCAGGCAGCAGCACCGUACGCCACGCGCCAAAGACGCAAAAAGCCCGUGCGGCCUGUGCUGGUGAACGACGAUGUGCCGCGGGGACGGACGCUGAAACGGACUGGGACGAAGACGACACGGAUUGUGAGGGGGAGUCGGAGGACGACAUGGAGCGGCUGCAGCGCGAGGCGGAUGCCGAGCUGGAUGCGCUGGCGCAUGAUGUAAAACAGCGCUACUUUGCUCCAAGGAGCGCGAACGCGCUCGACGCAGAUUUUUUCGCCGACCGUGGUGCGAAGCGUUGGCUGGCCCAGCGCAAGGACACGUGGCUACAGCGAGCUCGUCUGCGCAGGGAGCUGGCGCUCGAGAACGGCCGGAGCGAGGUCGCUCUGGGUGGGGAGAACAGUGACGCAGUGGCUCUCGGGCAAGCGACGGCGCCCGAUGUCGCUGGCAUGAACAGCCACUUCAUCGAUCUAAAGUCACGUGCGCUGGCGACCGUCUGGAACGUGCUCGAGGUGCGCGAGAAUGAGGAGAGUCCCGGAACUGUGCAGGUGCUUGCGGCGCUGGAGCAUAGCCUCUACUCCUUUCGCGUUCAGGUGCGUCGCACCGUCCUUGUAGACGCGGACCCCGCGCUGCGCCUGCAGGCGUUCGACGCCACUGAGGUCAGCGGGCGGGUGCUGCCGCGGCGUGCAGCAGCCGGCCGCCUCUACCAGGUCAAUGUUCCGCCUGGCGAGGAGGGGGAGCGGUGCCUCAAUGCGCUGCACGUGAUGGAGGGCGUUCGCCGGAUCUACGAGGAGCAUCGCACGCGCGUGGACACGUUCGUCGAGCAACUCGGUUGCUGCGUCUCCGUCGACUCGGCGCGGCACCUGCGCAACGCGCGUCGGCGCCCACCUUCGCAGCGUGAGCUCUUUGGCAUAGAUGAGAUGAACAUGCACACGUGCACGAAUUAUCUCAGCUGUGGCGCCGCGGACCGUGCCGUGUUCGUCUUCCACGCGGUGACGGAACAGCGCGGUUUGAUCGCUGCCGUUUAUCCGCAGACCAACACUGCCUUCGUCGUCUUUAUUCAGCCCGCUGAAGCGGCAAAGCCCGUGAUCAGCUGGAGCAGCAUUUGCGCGGAGAGCGCAAAGCGGCUGCACACGAGCACGCCGGAGCCGAUUCGGGUCACAUCCGCGGUGGCGGAGGAUCAGCGAGCAGCGUGGCGGCAGGUUCAUCAGCACCUGAGCGCCGCCUUGGAAAACGCCAAGGCGCCUCUUCUGGCUGUGCUGCAGAGCUGCCAGCCCACGUCGACACUCCUGCAGCAGCGCGCGUUGCCUGUGGGACUGCCUUACCUGCGUGUCCUCGGCGCUGCGGAAGAUGAGCGGCUGCUGAGCGACCCGUUCCGCUGGACGCGCCUGCUGGCGCGGCGACUGUUUGAACGCUUCUUCGCGUCGCUAUUGUGGGUAGAGGAGCGUCUGGCGCUGAGCCGUGUCUCUGGCAUCCCGCUUUGCAACAUUGCCCAGGACAGCUGCGUGCAUGUGCUGGAUGUGCUGUACAGUCGUGCCCUACACCGGCGUCAUCACGUGCUGUGGUGCAGCAGCGACCCUCUCAUAACUUUUGACACCGUGGAGGAGCGUCCGCGCGAGGUGUGCAUGGCUGGCGGCUAUACUUCGUGGUGCGUCGAAUUCGGCCUUUCGCGCCUGGACGUCGUCGCGCUGCUCUUCUCACAGGCGAUUGAGGAAGGCGAUGACCCGAACGCGCGGGUGCUGUGUGACCGUGGCGUAUCGACGCACUUCAACAUCCUGCGUGAUCUGGUGGCCGACUUGCUGGGGCAGGCCAUGGAGAACAUCCUCGCCGACACACUCCUGAACAACGUGGCGCGGUGGCUGCGCGACCCGGCGUCGUCCUGCUACGAGCCGCGCUUGGUGGAGCUUCUCAGCAGUCUCGCACACCGUGCACUCACGGGCAUCCUGCUCCGCCUCGCCAAGCUCGGCGGCCGCGCCGUAAAGGUGGACGGCAGUUCCGUCACCGUCCUCACCUCCAAGUACUCGCUUCAGGAGGCGGUGAGCUUCGCCCGCUUUCUGACAGCAUCGCUGCAGGACCAGCCGAUGCUACUGCUGCUCUCGCUGCAGCCACUGCGCUACUGGUGUCCAUAUGUGGUGCUUGACCCUUGCGACUACGCUGGCCUGUUCAUCACCGAGGACGCCAUCAAGCUCAAGCAGGGCGAGGAGCCGACACGAGCGGAUCUGCACGUAGCACAUCAGCUCACGAUGGCUAGCCGACUUCCCAGCCGUGCCCGCAACACUUUUGUGGAGCGCGUUGUCGAGACUCUCUACCAGCUGAACGCGUCAACACACCAUGUCUACUGCGACACGGUAGGCGAUCACACGGUCACGCUCGCCACGCGGCACGACCACCUGACGAGGCGCUUGUUGCAGGACUCGCAGAAGCUCUUUGAAGGUGUCUUGCAGACAGACAUCAUGGACGAGGUGCAGCGCGUGAUGGACACGCGCGACCUGUACACCGAGGAGGAGCACGCAGCACACGAGCGCGGCGAGUUGACGCUGUGGUCCAGCGGCGCCGUUGCACUCGAGUACGCGAAGUGUGUGUGUCGUGUGCUGGAGCUGAUCCCGUGCAACGGCGCCGUCGGCAAGGUGCGCAACAACUGCAUGCGUUUAUGCGGCAUCAGCCCAUUCUCCGCCCAGUCGCAGUUUCAGGCCGAUCCUUUCCUGGCGCACCGCCUUCAGUCCGUCACGUGCAGUUUCUGCAACUCUCACAUCUCGAUCGACUUGCUUGUGAGGCGGAAGUCGGUGACAUCGCCAUUUACCUGCACAGCGUGUGCGGCGCCAAUUGCGGCAGCUUCCAUGGAAGGAACGCUCGUCCGUCAUGUGAGCCAGCUGCUGCGAGUUUACAACCAGCAGGACUUCGUGUGCACCAAGUGUCGUGAGAUGACAACAACCUAUGUGGCGGAAACGUGCUGUGGCGCGCUCGUCGGCAAGGCCGCGCCGGUAGAGGGCGAGCUCCGGGCACUUCAUCACCUUGCGAAGAUACAAGACUUUGCGUGGCUUGCCGAGAGCGUGGAGGCGGCGCUCCUCUGCACGUGAGAGCUCUUUGUCAAGGUGUGCUGUGGCGGCACGCGCACAGUAGCCUUUGCAAGUACGCUCACCGCACGGCGCAGGCGCAGCAAAGCACGCCCUGCGCCGUGCGGUUUCCGCUCCACUGUGGCGCGGUGGGGCUCUACCAGCUCUCGUUUCCGCGCACGCCAACUCAGCGCGCGCGCGCAUACACGCAGCGUGCGAGUCAUGGGCUGCCAAAAACAAACGCAGCGAAAACGAUAGCGGCGGCUACCUUGGGGACCAAGAGCUUUUUCGCUCUUCUUCGUCCGCCCGAGAAGCGGCAACAACGUACAUCCAUGUGCAUUUUCACAUAGACAUGAACGGACCGUUUUAUAGAAUAGGCUUGGGGGUGGCCGCUGAUGGCGCAUUCCCGAAUUCGCACCUUGCCUUGCAUGGCUGUGACUUACCUAAAGGCCAUAGUAUCCGCCUCUCUGUCGAGACUGUGCAUGAUGGGCUGUUUUCUCUUUUACUUCUUUGCGAGUCUGCUGUGGGUUUGAGAUGCGCGUCUUCGUAAGCCAUACGCCCUCAGAUGGAAAGGAGGCAACACUGCGCGUUUGAUGUUCGAGCGAGAGAGAGAGAAAGAGGGUGAUAAAUCGUGCCGGCCUCUUUGCGCUCGUCCACGCAUGUGGAGAACUGAGGCGUCCUGCAGGGUUGCGCUUCUAGUUCACCUGUCCCCCGCCCCGUUACUGCAUGCACGAGGAGAGGGUCAGGAGCUUCUGGUCACAUGCGUCCUACUGUCGUAGUAUCCUACGCGCUAUGUCUUAUUCUUGCCUCCUAUCUCUCCCUCUCUGGGUACAUCGGCCCGCCCCCAUCCUCCUCUCCCUUGCUGCUGCCGCUUCUGUUAUUAUUAUUAUUUUGUAUUUUGCGGUGCCGCUCUUCUCCUUCGUCGACUGCAACAACAUGCACGCACACGUACAG